UUUUUAGUUUUUUAUUAAGGCUUUUAUUGAUCACUGAUGAGAAUUCAGAAAUUUCAUGUUUUGUCCUACAAUGGCAAAGAAAACUGAUGGAAGAAAACACUUCAAAAGUAUUAGAAAAGUUAUAAAAUAAACGUAAAAAGACACUAGGCUUUAAUGAUGAUGGUAAAAUGUAUCAUACAAGUGGAAUAUCAGAUGAUGAGUCUUUAUUUUUUAAAGAUUUUAUUUGUUGUUGUUGGUUUUUUUAAAAGUAAUCACUACACCUCAAAUGACGAGUCUUUAGAUAAUGGUAUCCUAAAUUUUCUCAAACUCCAGAAUUGUUAAUUCAACAAUAUAUAUUUAUUAAGCAGAUUUAUGGUAUUCUUAUCAAUUCAACAGGAAUGAUUUCAUUAUUCAAUAUUUUGGAACAAGAACCUGAGCCAUCCAAAAAAGAUUUGAUAUAUUUUGUCAUCUUUUUUGAUGUUUUGUAUCAUAUACACUUGAUAUGUUUGCGAGUCAACAAAUGCUAAAGGGAAUGUAUAUGCAAAUAUAACUGGAAGGAAAUCAUGAUGUAGAGAGGAAAAAUUCAUUGAAUUGCUAAUUCUUUUUUCUUCCAGUUUUACUGAGAUACAAUUGACAUACAUUGUAUACAUUUAAGAAGUCCAAUGUGUUUGAUUUGCUAGUUCUAAUUGUUGUUUAUAAAUCUAAACAUGAAAAUGCUUUACAGCUAAGAAGUAAAGAAGAUGGCUAUCUUCGUUUUUUUAAUUAAAUUAAUUUACUCAUGAGACACACAGAGAGAAGCGUCUGCCUCUCACACUGGCAGAGGGAGAAGCAGGCUUCCUGCGGGAAGCCCAAUGUGGGACUCCAUCCCAGGACCCCAUCCCAGGACCCCAGGGUCACACCCCGAGCCAGCCAAAGGAAGGCAGAGGCUCAACGGCUGAGCCAGGCAAGCAUCCCAAAGAUGGCUAUCUUCUUUUCAACAAGACUGAAGGCCACCCACAUUUUCAAAAGUACUUUUGUUGAUUCAAGUGCAAGAAGUAGCAAAAAUAAGAAUAAGCUAGCAUGUUAGAGACGUAUUUUUAAUUUAGAGUCAAUAUUUAUGAGAUGACUUUGUUCCUGGUACAUAUACAUUGACUGAUUAAUAGCAAUAUAUUUUUUAAAGAUUUUAUUUAUUUAUUCAUGAGAGACAGAGAGAGAGAAGCACAGACACAGGCAGAGGGAGAAGCAGGUUCCAUGCAGGGAGCCCAACAUGGGACUCGAUCCCGGAUCUCCAGGAUCAGGCCCUGGGUCGAAGGCGGCGCUAAACCGCUGAGCCACCCGGGCUGCCCAUAGUAAUAUUUAACAGAUACGGCCUGGGGUACCUGGCUGGCUCAGUCAGUACAGCGUGCGUCUGACUCUUGAUCUCAGAGUUGAGCCCCAUAUCGCGCACAGGAAUUACUUUAAAAAAAUAAAGGAUAUGGCCCGCUCAGGGUAAUAUUUCUCUAAUUGCAGAAAAAUAUAGGAUAAAAAUUUGAUUUUGCUAAGUUUAAAUUAUUAUUAAAGUUUAUUUAUUUAUAUAUUUAUUUUUAAAAGAUUCUACUUAUUUAUUCAUGAGAGACAAACAGAGGCAGAGACAUAGGCAGAGGGAGAAGCAGGCUCUGUGCAGGGAGCCUGGUGUGGGACUUGAUCCCCAGACCCAGGAUCACGCCCUGAGCCGAAAGCAGACACCCAAACCGCUGAGCCACCCAGGCGUCCCUAAAAUUCAUUUUAAAAUUGUUUCACUAUCCUUUAUUCUUGCUCCUUAUAAAUGAUUUGCAAAUGGCUGAAAAAUAUGAAAAAAUAAAGUCUGUUGGUGAUGACUGGUGUACUGAGGGUUAAACAAGCAGGGGUUUAUUUGUUUUGCAUAACAAGCAAUAGAGAACACAAAACAGG
rnacentral:lncRNA from 1 species